GAAAUGCGAUAAGUAAUGUGAAUUGCAGAAUUCAGUGAAUCAUCGAAUCUUUGAACGCACCUUGCGCUCCUUGGUAUUCCUUGGAGCAUGCCUGUUUGAGUAUCAUGAAAUCUUCAAAGUAAAUCUUUUGUUAACUCAAUUGGUUUCUACUUUGGUAUUGGAGGUCUUUGCAGCUUCACACCUGCUCCUCUUUGUACAUUAGCUGGAUCUCAGUGUUAUGCUUGGUUCCACUCGGCGUGAUAAGUUAUCUAUCGCUGAGGACACUGUAAAAGGUGGCCAAGGUAAAUGCAGAUGAACCGCUUCUAAUAGUCCAUUGACUUGGACAAUACUUUUAUGAUCUGAUCUCAAAUCAGGUAGGACUACCCGCUGAACUUAAGC
rnacentral:misc_RNA from 1 species